UACGUAGGGUGCAAGCGUUGUCCGGAAUUAUUGGGCGUAAAGAGCUCGUAGGCGGUUUGUCGCGUCGGAUGUGAAAGCCCGGGGCUUAACCCCGGGCCUGCAUUCGAUACGGGCUGACUAGAGUUCGGCAGGGGAGACUGGAAUUCCUGGUGUAGCGGUGAAAUGCGCAGAUAUCAGGAGGAACACCGGUGGCGAAGGCGGGUCUCUGGGCCGAUACUGACGCUGAGACGCGAAAGCGUGGGGAGCAAACAGG
rnacentral:rRNA from 1 species